rnacentral:lncRNA from 1 species
CUGACAACCACUGUUCUGCUUGGUGUUCCUGCAGACACAUUUGCCUUUUCUAGAAUAUCUAAGAAAUGGAAUCAAACAAGACUUCUUUCAUGCAACAGCAUGCCUCUGAAACUCAAUCAAGUUUUUGUGUAUAUCAAUAUUGGCUCAUUUGUUUGAUCGUAAAAUGAAGCCACACAUAGUCUUUGGAUUUAAUCAUUGUCCACUUAGCUUCUUUUUUGAUGCCUUUUCUUGUAUGUUAGCUGAAAAAAAAAAAUAGUUAGGUUUGCAUCAUUUGUUUAGUCAUUUCCCAGUUUGAUGGUGUGAGGAAUACUACUAGAAUGCAGGAAGCUUAAGCCUACAGAGUUUAUUCUUUGAAUUUUUAUAACUGUGGUGGAAACUGGAUUUCUGUUCCCUAUAUCUGGAUUGAAUUCUAUCUGCUGCUAGCCGUGAGCAUUUUUGUGUAUAUGAGGCCAACUCUGGUGGUGAGAAGCACUAUCAUCCGACUUCUUUGUGCAGCUAUGGAGGGAGACUUGCAGCCUCUCAGUGUUGCGGCUUUCAGCUGAUGUUGACCUAGAACUGUGUGAAGAGUUCAGGAGACUUGUCCUCUAGGUGUGCUAUGCCUUGAUGUUGCCAUCGAAACCGGAGGCUCCGCAUGGGAUUUUGCUACUACCAAGAAAAAUCGGCAGGGAAUUAUUGGCUGUGCCAAGGAUUUUCAGCUGGGAGAGUAUGGAUCAUGAUUUAAAGGGAAUCCUUAGAGUAGAAGCUUCAGAAGAUGCCGGCCGCUGCUCUCCCAGGCAACAUGCAUGCUGCUGACACAGGAUGCGUAAUGAGUGAAGGCGUGGAAGGGCAGAGACGCUGAAGCACUGGUGCACCUAGGACCCCCCAGUCCAACACCGUGUCCACUCACCACACGUGGAACAGAACACCUGGACCGUGGCUAGUCUGAUUGAGGUGCACUGUCUACCAAUGCUCUAUCUGAAAAUGAGUAAAUAAGUAAGAUGGACACAAAUCAUUACAUAUUGUAAAAUACAGACCAGAUAUCAAAGACUUAUAUAAAAAAGGCAAGGAAAAAUAUGUCAUUGAUUUCCUUUUUUAUAUUGAUCACAUGUUGAAACAUUACUAUUCUGAA